rnacentral:rRNA from 1 species
UACGGGGGGGGCAAGCGUUGUUCGGAAUUACUGGGCGUAAAGGGUGCGUAGGCGGCUUUCUAAGUUGGAUGUGAAAACUAUGGGCUCAACCCAUAGCCUGCAUCCAAAACUGGAGAGCUUGGGUUCUGGAGGGGAAAGCGGAAUUCCUGGUGUAGCGGUGAAAUGCGUAGAUAUCAGCAGGAACACCCGUGGCGAAGGCGGCUUCCUGGAGCACCCCUGACGCUGAGACGCGAAAGCGUGGGGAGCGAACGGG